GACGAACGCUGGCGGCGUGCUUAACACAUGCAAGUCGAACGAAGUGGCGAACGGGUGAGUAAAGCGUAAUCAACCUGCCCUUCAGAGGGGGACAACAGUUGGAAACGACUGCUCAUACCGCAUACUGAAGGGGGGGAUUGCGUCUGAUUAGCUAGUUGGAGGGGUAACGGCCCACAAAGGCGAUGAUCAGUAGCCGGUCUGAGAGGAGGAACGGCCACAUUGGGACUGGGACACGGCCCAGACUCCUACGGGAGGCAGCAGUGGGGAAUCUUCCGCAAUGGACGAAAGUCUGACGGAGCAAAGCCGCGUGAGUGAUGACGGCCUUCGGGUUGUAAAGCUCUGUUAAUCGGGACGCGGUACCGGAAUAGAAAGCCACGGCUAACUACGUGCCAGCAGCCGCGGUAAUAC
rnacentral:rRNA from 1 species